rnacentral:lncRNA from 1 species
AUCUUAAUCAAAUCUUAAUGUAACCUUUAACAAACCUUGAUAAAAUCCUAAAUCAAUCUUAAAUAAACCUUAAACCAAAUCUUAGAUCAAAUCCUAAUUAAAUCAUAAUGAAACUUUAGUAAAAUCUUAAUAAAAUCCUAAUCAAAUCUUAAUCAAAUUCACACAAAAUUCUAAAUCCUAAAUCCUAACCAAAUCAUAGACACAUCCUAAAUCUUAACCAAAUCCUAGAUUCUAAAUCCUAAUCAAUUCCAAGAUCUUAAA